UACGUAGGAACCGAGCGUUGUCCGGAUUCAUUGGGCGUAAAGAGCUCGUAGGCGGCUGCUCAAGUCGAAUGUGAAAACUCGAGGCUCAACCUCGAGCCUGCAUUCGAUACUGGGCGGCUAGAGUCUGGUAGGGGGAUCUGGAAUUCCUGGUGUAGCGGUGAAAUGCGCAGAUAUCAGGAGGAACACCGAUUGCGAAGGCAGCUCGCUGGGACGUUACUGACGCUGAGACGCGAAAGCGUGGGGAGCAAACAGG
rnacentral:rRNA from 1 species